rfam:Methanoregula formicica SMSP chromosome, complete genome.
GGGAGGAUAGGAAAGCUGGCCAACUCCGCCGGACUUAAGAUCCGGUCCUUAGUGGUUCUUGGGUUCGAAUCCCAAUCCUCCCA